AGACCCGAAACCCGGUGAUCUAGCCAUGGGCAGGUUGAAGGUUGGGUAACACUAACUGGAGGACCGAACCGACUAAUGUUGAAAAAUUAGCGGAUGACCUGUGGCUGGGGGUGAAAGGCCAAUCAAACCGGGAGAUAGCUGGUUCUCCCCGAAAGCUAUUUAGGUAGCGCCUCGUGAAUUCAUCUCCGGGGGUAGAGCACUGUUUCGGCUAGGGGGCCAUCCCGGCUUACCAACCCGAUGCAAACUGCGAAUACCGGAGAAUGUUAUCACGGGAGACACACGGCGGGUGCUAACGUCCGUCGUGAAGAGGGAAACAACCCAGACCGCCAGCUAAGGUCCCAAAGUCAUGGUUAAGUGGGAAACGAUGUGGGAAGGCCCAGACAGCCAGGAUGUUGGCUUAGAAGCAGCCAUCAUUUAAAGAAAGCGUAAUAGCUCACUGGUCGAGUCGGCCUGCGCGGAAGAUGUAACGGGGCUAAACCAUGCACCGAAGCUGCGGCAGCGACGCUUAUGCGUUGUUGGGUAGGGGAGCGUUCUGUAAGCCUGUGAAGGUGUGUCGUGAGGCAUGCUGGAGGUAUCAGAAGUGCGAAUGC
rnacentral:rRNA from 1 species